rnacentral:rRNA from 1 species
CCUACGGGAGGCAGCAGUAGGGAAUAUUGCUCAAUGGGGGAAACCCUGAAGCAGCAACGCCGCGUGGAGGAUGAAGGUUUUAGGAUUGUAAACUCCUUUUGUUAGAGAAGAUUAUGACGGUAUCUAACGAAUAAGCACCGGCUAACUCCGUGCCAGCAGCCGCGGUAAUACGGAGGGUGCAAGCGUUACUCGGAAUCACUGGGCGUAAAGAGUGCGUAGGCGGGGUAAUAAGUCAGAUGUGAAAUCCUGUGGCUUAACUACAGAACUGCAUUUGAAACUGUUACUCUGGAGUGUGGGAGAGGUAGGUGGAAUUCUUGGUGUAGGGGUAAAAUCCGUAGAGAUCAAGAGGAAUACUCAGUGCGAAGGCGACCUGCUGGAACAUUACUGACGCUGAUGCACGAAAGCGUGGGGAGCAAACAGGAUUAGAUACCCUUGUAGUC